rnacentral:rRNA from 1 species
AGUGAACGCUGGCGGUAGGCCUAACACAUGCAAGUCGAACGGCAGCACAGGAGAGCUUGCUCUCUGGGUGGCGAGUGGCGGACGGGUGAGGAAUACAUCGGAAUCUACUCUGUCGUGGGGGAUAACGUAGGGAAACUUACGCUAAUACCGCAUACGACCUACGGGUGGAAGCAGGGGAUCUUCGGACCUUGCGCGAUUGAAUGAGCCGAUGUCGGAUUAGCUAGUGGGCGGGGUAAAGGCCCACCAAGGCGACGAUCCGUAGCUGGUCUGAGGGGAUGAUCAGCCACACUGGAACGGAGACACGGGCCAGACUCCUACGGGAGGCAGCAGUGGGGAAUAUUGGACAAUGGGCGCAAGCCUGAUCCAGCCAUACCGCGUGGGUGAAGAAGGCCAUCGGGUUGUAAAGCCCUUUUGUUGGGAAAGAAAUCCAGCUGGCUAAUACCCGGUUUGAUGACGGUACCCAAAGAAUAAGCACCGGCUAACUUCGUGCCAGCAGCCGCCGUAA